rnacentral:tRNA from 1 species
UUUCGGAGUAGACAAACUGGUAAAGUCACUAGCCUUUGAAGCUAGGGUUUGGAGGUUCGAAGCCUUCCUCCGAAGUCAU